AAUGUCUGAGUGAGUGCACUGAGCUGGCUUCUGAAUGGUUUCUUUCUCAGGGGGUUGAAACCAAAAAAACUAUCUGCAAAGAAAGUAUAAUAAAGUAUACUUCCUUCCCUUCCUCUUCCUCCCCCUCUUCCUCCUCCUCCUCCUCCUCCUCCUCUGUAGACCCUACGGGACUUCCAGUUCACAGACAGGGAUGGCAGGGACCAGGGGGUGAAUGUUAGGGAGAAGGCCAAGCAGCUGGUGGCCCUGAUGAGGGAUGAGGAGAGGCUGAAACAGGAGAGGACCCUGGCCCUGAAGACCAAGGAGAGGAUGGCUGGAGCAGCUGCAGGGUCAGGGAUGGGCUCUAGUUCUCUACCUCCACCCUACCCAGGCCGCCGUACCAGCCAGCCCAGCAUGACUGCUCUCUACGGGGAUGACUUCAGCCGGUCCAGGGAGUCCCAUUCCUCUUUCAAUUGUGAGU
rnacentral:lncRNA from 13 species